rnacentral:rRNA from 1 species
UACGGAGGGUGCGAGCGUUGUCCGGAAUCAUUGGGCGUAAAGAGCGCGUAGGCGGUCCGGUAAGUCGGUUGUGAAAACUGGGGGCUCAACCCUCAGAGGCCGACCGAUACUGUCGGGCUAGAGUCCGGAAGAGGCGAGUGGAAUUCCUGGUGUAGCGGUGAAAUGCGCAGAUAUCAGGAGGAACACCAAUGGCGAAGGCAGCUCGCUGGGACGGUACUGACGCUGAGGCGCGAAAGCGUGGGGAGCAAACAGG